rnacentral:rRNA from 1 species
ACGGAAGGCAGCAGUGGGGAAUAUUGGGCAAUGGGCGCAAGCCUGACCCAGCAACGCCGCGUGAAGGAUGAAGGUCUUCGGAUUGUAAACUUCUUUAAUCGGGGAAGAAAAAAAUGACCUACCCGAAGAAUAAGCCACGGCUAACUACGUGCCAGCAGCCGCGGUAAUACGUAGGUGGCAAGUGUUAUCCGGAUUUACUGGGUGUAAAGGGCGUGUAGGCGGCUCUGCAAGUCAGGAGUGAAAUUCCCGGGCUCAACCUGGGCGCUGCAUCGGAAACUGCAGGGCUUGAGUACUGGAGAGGAAAGCGGAAUUCCUAGUGUAGCGGUAAAAUGCACAGAUAUUAGGAGGAACACCGGUGGCGAAGGCAGCUUUCUGGACAGUAACUGACGCUAAGGCGCGAAAGCGUGGGGAGCAAACAGGAUUAGAUACCCUGGUA